UGACCUCGGAUCAGACGUGAUUACCCGCUGAAUUUAAGCAUAUUAUUAAGCGGAGGAAAAGAAACUAACAAGGAUUCCCCUAGUAACGGCGAGUGAACGGGGAAGAGCCCAACACCGAAUCCCUUGGCGCAAGUCAACGGGAAAUGUGGUGUUAAGGUAGCCCUUCGUGUCAGUCUAGGCGUCUCAAGUCCACCUGAUUGUGGCUCAAGCCCAGAGAGGGUGUAAGGCCCGUAGAGACGCUCCGACUGAUUCCUGGGGUUUACCUACGAGUCGGCUUGUUUGGGAAUGCAGGCCAAAGCGGGUGGUAAACUCCAUCCAAGGCUAAAUACUGGCACGAGUCCGAUAGCGGACAAGUACCGUGAGGGAAAGUUGAAAAGAACUUUGAAGAGAGAGUUCAAUAGUACGUGAAACCGCUUAGAGGCAAACGGAUGGUGCUCAUACUGGCCUGAGGAAUUCAACUGUGACGGUGGCUGGACGAGCUGGCGUUCCGAUCUCUCUUUUGGGACGGGCGUCGGUUUGGCUAUCAGCUCUGACAUGGUGCACUUUCCUUGGUGCCUCCGCCACGACCGACGACACUGGCUACCCGCGGCUGGGGUAAGGUGACAAACUGCUUCGGCAAUUUGUGUUAUAGACCCCGGCGUCGGACAUGGUUUGGCCAGGACGUCGAGCUUGCGGCGGCGCCCGCUCCUUGUGGGCUCGCAUGUUGGCUAGCUUGGCUGCGCCGAUGCUUGCACUGGACAACCAGUACAGGUGACGGUUGUGGUCUUGUCUCUAGUUGGCCUCUGCGAGUUUGGCGCCUAUAGUCUGUGGUGUACUUGUGGGUAGACUAUCCGACCCGUCUUGAAACACGGACCAAGGAGUCUAACAUGUGCGCGAGUCAUGGGGAUUCUACGAAACCCAAAGGCGCAGUGAAAGUAAAGGCCUGCUUCUCGUAGGCUGAGGUGGGAUCUCGUGCAUCGCGAUUGGCGAGCGCACCACCGGCCCGUCCUAUCUGUCUCUGUCAGUGGGGCGGCGCAAGAGCGUACACGUUGGGACCCGAAAGAUGGUGAACUAUGCUUGCGCAGCUCGAAGUCAGUGGAAACACUGAUGGAGGAGCGCAGCGUUUCUGACGUGCAAAUCGAUCGUCAAACGUGAGUAUAGGGGCGAAAGACUAAUCGAACCAUCUAGUAGCUGGUUCCCUCCGAAGUUUCCCUCAGGAUAGCUGGCACUCGGGAAACAGUUUUAUCCGGUAAAGCGAAUGAUUAGAGGCAUUGGGGUCGAAACGACCUC
rnacentral:ncRNA from 1 species